CCUACGGGUGGCAGCAGUGGGGAAUAUUGGACAAUGGGGGGAACCCUGAUCCAGCGACGCCGCGUGAGUGAAGAAGUAUUUCGGUAUGUAAAGCUCUAUCAGCAGGGAAGAAAGAAAUGACGGUACCUGACUAAGAAGCCCCGGCUAACUACGUGCCAGCAGCCGCGGUAAUACGUAGGGGGCAAGCGUUAUCCGGAUUUACUGGGGGUAAAGGGAGCGUAGACGGCAGUGCAAGUCUGGAGUGAAAGGCGGGGGCUCAACCCCCGGACUGCUCUGGAAACUGUACGGCUGGAGUGCAGGAGAGGAAAGUGGAAUUCCUAGUGUAGCGGUGAAAUGCGUAGAUAUUAGGAGGAACACCAGUGGCGAAGGCGGCGUACUGGACUGUAACUGACGUUGAGGCUCGAAAGCGUGGGGAGCAAACAGGAUUAGAUACCCGAGUAGUC
rnacentral:rRNA from 1 species